rnacentral:tRNA from 1 species
GGUGGGAUACCCGAGUUGGUCAAAGGGACCUGGCUGUAAACCAGGCGGCUCAGCCUUCGAAGGUUCGAAUCCUUCUCCCACCA